rnacentral:piRNA from 1 species
UAACUGCCUGAAUAUAUUCUUUGCAUCUUCC